rnacentral:rRNA from 1 species
UACGGAGGGUGCGAGCGUUGUCCGGAAUCACUGGGCGUAAAGGGCGCGUAGGCGGCCUGAUAAGUAGGGGGUGAAAUCCUGCGGCUUAACCGCAGGGCUGCCUUCUAAACUGUCGAGCUUGAGCACGGUAGAGGCAGAUGGAAUUCCCGGUGUAGCGGUGGAAUGCGCAGAUAUCAGGAGGAACACCUAUAGCGAAGGCAGCUUGCUGGGACGUGACUGACGCUGAGACGCGAAAGCGUGGGGAGCAAACAGG